rnacentral:lncRNA from 1 species
CAGAUAUCUCCUUUUUAUGGAGGUUGAAGGCAUCCAAAGCCAUCUAGAAAGGAGAAAGAAAAUACCUGGGCCUGCUCUGCAGAGGACUUAUGUGACACUAUAGAUAUUUCCCAAAAUACCAGUGGAGGACUUUGAGAAGUGGCCCAAACCACUGAAGCUGGAAUGAGUUAGGGGAUUUGUAUUGCAUUUAUUGAUAACAUUGUUAGAAAUUUGAAGAGACAGCCAAAGAAGAAAGGAUAUUCACUUAUACUCCCCAGUUUAAAGAAGCACUUACUGUAGCAGUCUGGAUAGGCUAGGAUACACAAUGGAAAACUAAAUCUCAAGACCUCAAAAUAACAAGAGUAAAUGCCGUUUUGUCAAUGAAAGAGGGAUGCUUGCGAUGAUGUGAAGGAUGUCUGAGAAGAGGUGUAUUUCUGAAGGAAAGAAAGAACACAGCAUACUCCUUGGAUAAAUCUCAUUUUCUUCCUUGUUAAGCCUUUUUUUCCCAUUGCAUUCUCUACAAACCCCUGGCCCACUCUUUCCUCCUCUUUCUACUUCCUUCCUUUCUCACCUGUACCCCAAACUAUAUUUGUAAACUCUUGCAGUGUUACUUUUGCACAGGGCUUGAAAUAUUUAACACCUUUGUUUUUAAUACAUGAGAAAAAUAAGAUCUAUAGGAAAGGAAACAACUUAACCAGUUUGAACAGGUAAUUGAUAGACUACAGUCCUCUCUCAAAUGUUUACUAAUGACACAUAUGCAUGGAGAUGGGAAUGUAUACAUACACACACACACAUACACACACACACAAACACACGUAUUGACUGGUUGAAACAUGACAGUUCUCCAGUACCUGGGAAUUAAAGGAGGGUGCAUUAGCCAUCCCUACCUUUACCUCAAUAUCCAUUUUAGGAAGGAUUAGAAAUUAAUUUACAUGAUUGAACAUACCAAGGGCUUUGAAAGCAGAAAAAUAUGAAAUUCAGAUUUUUCACUUCUUCAUCCUGGAGGUUCAGUUUUCCCAACACUAAAAUGAGGAUAGUAACACCAAACAUGGGAAUUGUUGAAGUGAUCAGUGAAAUAGAUGCUGUAUUAUAGGCCUAGCUCAGUUUAUGCUCUUAUCUUAAGAUUCUCUCUCUGGAAACCAAACCACCCCUGGAAUGGGCUCUGGUGGUCCUUACAUGAACAUAAGGCAUGCAUAACCCCUUUGAUAUUGUGAGUGUUUCUCUGCAUAUGAGCAUUCUUUUCUUCAGGGAAAAGUUCCUAACUUUUAUUAGAUUCUCAAAGUUGUCUGUAUUUCCUAUUAUUUUAAGAAAACUGACUUAAAUAGAAGGUGUAAUUGCGAAUGUUAACAAUAAUAAUUACAAACACCAUAACAUUACUAAUAUUUCACUACAAACAAAUAAUAAUAGUAUUAUUAUUAAUAUUCAAUUAUCUGAACAUGAGCCAAAAUUGGUGGAUGAAUCACAUUUAAAUCAUCGGGUGCUUUGCUUUCACCAGGUAAAAAGUUCCAAUUUCUUCUUAUUACAUUAAAUCUUAAGAACCUAUUUCACUCUUAUCCACAAAAAGGAACUCAUUUCCCCUAGAAAGGCAGGCUAAUGAGGUCUGCUUAAUUUAUAGCUGGGUCCAUUUAUGUGGUGGUUUCAUUAACAAAGACAUCUAUUUAAUUCAAUAGAUUCCUACACGUGGUACACAUAGAAGACACUACUACCCCCAUUCACUCCCCAUCCAUUCAUUACCCUAAUGCUUCUGACACACACAAACAAACCUUGUUUUACAAAUUGCUUAGAGAUUUGAUUAUUGCAUCAUGCAUUUUGUUGUAACAAGAAAGGUGAUUUAAAAUCAUUAGUCCUAAAAUUUAGUCCUGUGUGUGCUUUGAAGUCAAGGGGAACAAUUUGUCAGCUGGUUGAUCUUUUGCUUCUAAAGCUAGUUAACUGAUCAAUCUAAUGUCAAAGGAACAGAGAUAAAUGGGAGACAUUUUACUAUGUAGAAAACGGUACAUGAAGAUAAAUCCAACACUGUGCUUUAUUUCAUCUGCAGUUAUCUUUGUAGUAAUUGCUUUGGAAGACUCAAGGUGCUCUUUGCACAUAGGGAGUGUUAGAAGCCUUUAAAUCAUCUGCAUAGACUAGUAGCUUCUUGCUGCGAAUCUUGCUUUGCUCCAUUUUUGGGUAGAGAGGACAAUAAUCUCCUACUAUAAAUGCAAAUUUGGCAAGGACCAAAGGUUGGGAUUCUUGACUAGUUGUUUAUUGAACAAUCAAUUCAUACAUUUCUGAAAUUUCUUGACAUGCUUGCAAAGUAGAUCCAUUCCUUAUUGAAUUCAUUUGAUUUUCACUAUGACCAUAAUGAUUAAACUAGUUCUGGAGUAAACGUUUCCUAAUGAACAGAUUUGGAUGUACCAGCUGUUCCAGUUAUCUCUGUACAAAACAACCCCCCCAACUAUCUGGCUUAAAACAAAAGACAUAUAUUUCAUAAUUUUGUAAAUCAAAAAUUGAAAUUGAGUGACAACAGCAAAGGAAACUUAAAAAUAUUUAGCCAUCAAUGAACUGUAGGGUCCAAUAUACCUUCAUUUACAUGUCUGGUACCUUGGAUGCAGGGAAUGAUUGGAAGGCUUGUCUAGUAGACUCAGCUGUGACUGCCAAUCAGAGUACCUCCAUUUGGCUUCUCCAACAAGAAGUAUCAGAUAAACUUCUUACUUGACAUCUCAGGGCUCUCAGAGAGUUCUAAAAGGCCAUACUGGAAGCUGCAACAGUUCUUAUCAGAGUAUCAGUUGCUACUAGGUCAAUUUAUGGACAAAUCACUCAGGUCAUCUCAGACUCAAGGUAAGAGAAACUAGACUCUACCUCAUAGAGAAGAGAAAAACACGGUAUCCAUAUCCUUCUUUAAUCUACCACUCCAGAACAUUUUGAUUCUAUACAAGACCCAUUAUCAAAUCAUUCUGCUGCCAUCACCUCAAGGUUUUAUAUGUUUUAGAAUGUUCAGCAAGACAGAUCAUGGUCAGGGUAAAAGAGCAGUAAUUGGUUAAGUAGCUAUUAUUCUGACAAGCUACAAAAGGGACUUGCAUUUUCUUAACUCUCAGAAAUUUUUUGUAUUUUUAGUAGAGACGGGGUUUCACCGAGAAACAUCUUCUUACUGAAAGUUAUGUGAACACCCAUUAGAAACCAGGGAGAGAGAUUUCAUUUCUUCCAGAGUAGGUUCAAUGCCUAGUUUUACCCUAUCAGAAUUUUGUCCGGGGCACUUAUCCAGUGACAAUUUUUUUUUCAUAAGAGCUAUUUUUCGUAAGACUGCCCAAAAUCUUAGGAAUGAUCCAAUUUUCCAGUAAUGACUAAUAUAUUAAGAUGCAUAUGAAGGCUCCUCUUUCAUUAUGAUAGUCACCCUCUCACCAUUGCCUACCGAAUACUGUCUCAACUCAUCGAACUGCCUGACUUUUCACAACGAAGCCUUUAAAGUUUAUUCAAAACUUCUCUCCUCACAUUCACCCUGUCCACCAGCGAGACCACCCCUCCCAUUGUCUCCAGAAUAAAUAUGGUGUUCCCACCUCUGGGAAAGUUAACAAUGACAAUUAUAUCAAUUGCUAAUAUUUGUUGAACACUUACAUCACUUGUUUGCUCUUUAGGCUACGUUGAUUGAUGUGAAUUGCAAUGGACACUCCGAUGCCGUUGGGAAGCACUUCUUGUCUGUUGUACUCAACACAAAGAACUGUCCACUCUUGAUAUUUUUUUUGUAAAAGCCUGUAUCAUGUCUUCCCAGACAAAUGUUCCAGGAAAGUAUGAGAUUUUGUCUCGUACUACUUGUUUUCACACACAAUGUCUCACACAGAGCAGGCACUCCACAAAUAAAUUACUAGUCCAGCAACCCUUUAUUACACAACUGUUACAUACUCCAUGCAAACAAGGAAAGCAAGUUAGAACAAAUGAAACACAACUUCAGGAAUAGUUUGUUGUUCAUUUGAAUUUGCUGAUAUUUUUAUGUUUGACUUUAGAGGAAUUUGAAUGAUUUAGGUCGGAAUUGCAUUUCUACAGCUGGCUGGCAGGACAACUUUGAACAGUCUACAGAGCUCCUAUUUUCCUCUCUCUGAAGUGAGGGUAACAACUGGUAAAAGUGUUGUAUGUCUAAAAUCACAAAAGUGAUGUAAAGCUUUACUUUUCAAAUUUUCUUGUGCUUAAAAAUCAUCUGGAAUCUUGUAAAAAGGGCUGUGGUCUAAAAGAAAGAGCCUGAGAUUCUGCAUUUCAGACAAGCUCCCAGAGAAGGUAAAUGAUGGCCCAUCGGCUACAGCUUGAGUAGCAAUGCUAUAAAGCACCUAAUAUUAAUACUCACUCUGAAAUGUUGUCCUCCCCUUCCUCCCUCCAUCUUCCUAUUUGAAAAUUCCAGGAGACAGAAAUGGAUUUUUAUUUACUCCAAACGUCCAGUCUGAUGGUCUCUCAAUUGUGUUCCUCGUUUAAAAUAGUGCGGCUCCUGCACUUUGUUUAACUCUGCUUGACAAUCAGUGAUUUGUGAUUCUGCUCUUUCCUGAGCAUGUUUAUAAAAUGACGACCUUGGGAUUGGAGUCUCUGCUGCCCAAAUGCAGGGAGCAGACUUUCUAUGGAAGAAUUGUGAAAGGUCAUUUUACCACUGUUUUUUUCUUUCUUCUUGUCUUUCUUUUUGUUUUUUUGCCUUGGCUUCAUAUGCUAAUGGAAUCAACAUCCCCAUUUGCUAUUUUAAUGUUUCUUAGAAAGCUUUAUCUCAGAAUUUCCUAUGGUUUGUAUGUGCAUUAGUCUUCUAGGUGAAUCAGAGGUUUCCUGCUAUAACACCAUGAGGUUUCUCAAUAGACCCUCUUGGCUCCUUGUUGAGUCUUUUGAAUGACUUUAUUAUAAUAAAGUUGACUUGGAGCCAGAGGAGGCAGAGCUCCAGUGUUGGGCUUUCUGUAGAAUUUUAUGGGUUUUUCUCAGAAGUUUAAUGCCAGUUUAAUGGAGUUUUAUAACUAUUAAUACUCUACCACUCCAGCUGCGCUAAGAAAUAUGUAACUAAACAAUAACUUGAAAUAGGUAAAUUCAUGAUUAAGUUGCACUAAAAACUAAUGCCUCUUGGCCAUAGUUCAUAAUUUCCAAAGGCACAUCAUUUAGAAUGAUUGGUAACUUUAGCCUUGUAACUCUUUCAAGGAGAAAGGCUGUGAGCUUAAAUCACUACAUUAAGCUGACAGUGAGGCUCAUAUUUUCUGAGCUAAAGAUAUAUUUUUAUGGCCACACAGUGGACUCUGUUUAUCACUCAUCAUAAACCAUAGGAAACCAUUUUUGUUUUAAAUUAGGUGCUUAGGCUUUUGUCCUGUAAUCUGUUUCUUUAUUUCCCCUUUUCACUUUUGUUGGUCCAUUUUCAACAACUCCCAAUCGUCUUCCGUUUCCUGAAAACAGCUCAUAUUUUAUAUCUCAGCUUCUUUAAAGGUAUUUCAUCCUAGUUGAGGUCACCUUAAUUUACACCUCAAAUUACAGUUCCAGAGCCAACUUCUUUGCUGCUGAUAUUGAGUAGUAAUCCUACUAAAGAGUCCAAUUUUAAAAUGAGGAACAGUCUUAUCCUACAAUGCCAGGCAUAAGAAGCCCAUGAAUUUUGCAUAUAUCUUUAGUACUUUAAUUUAUUGAAUUACAUUUCUCCACUUCUUUGAGCCACUUAGUCAAUUACACUUCAUUCUGCUGCCUCGUCUGGUUCUAGAAGCUGUCUGUUCACAAAGACCAUAACUAAGUCAGUUUUUCCCAGACGAGGCAACAGCCGCAAAUCAUCUGAAAGUGAAAUGACUGUGGAAUUUGAGGUUUAAUUGUUUUUAAGCCAUCUUGAUUAUGUUUAUUAAAAUAGAAGGUCUUGUCAAGUUAGACCUCUCUCUAUUUCUGUCUGUCUUUCUCCUCACCUCCCUCACUGACUUUUCAGCUCACUGAGGCCCAUCCUUUUAUUGCCUGAUUUUAUACAGUUGGAUGAGAAACACAUACUGGGCAGUGGCCACAGCCCCAUCAACUGAAAGGAAUAUGAUGGGAUCAGAAGUCCUCUUAAUGAAAAACUGUAUCUUUAAUUCCUGUGGAAUUUUAAAACAUGUGCAGUGCAAUCUAUAAAUGGCCAAAUAAAAAAAGAGCAAAUAAACAUAAGAUGUUACUGUGAUCUGGUAUAAAGCCUAUAUGGCAUAGCUGAGUUUCUACCCUGCCCUAACUCCACUUAUCUUGAAGAAAAAGGAUGCCUGUGAUCAAAAUUUUUCUUUGCAAACCAGACUAGCUGAAUUUCUACCCUGCUCUGACUCCACUUAUCUUGAAGAGAAAGGAUGCCUGUGAUCAAAAGUUUCCUUUGUAACCAGACCAGUUGAAACUGGUUAAAACCAAGAUAGCAGACCAAACGAUGUCAAAAGACUUUAGGCUUCAUUACGAUCUCAUUUCCAUGCUAAAUGACACUUCCAACAGUGCCAUGACAGUUGAUAUGUGCCAUGACAGCAACCAGAAUAAGCCAGAAAAGGACAAAAAGGAAGGCAGCACUCUGGUUCCAGGAAGUUCAUCACCUGUAUUAGUCUGUUUUCAUGCUGCUGAUAAAGACACACCAGAGACUGGGUAAUUUAUAAAGUAAAAGAGGUUUAAUGAACUUACAGUUCCAUGUGGCUGAGAAGGCUUCACAAUCAUGGUGGAGGGCGAGGGCGAAAGGCACUUCUUACAUGACAGCAGCUAGAUGGAGUUAAAGAGCCAAACAAAAGGGCUUUACCUUUAUAAACCCAUUACAGACUUAAUCACUACCAUGAGAACAGCAUGGGGAAAACUGCUCCCAUGAUUCAAUUAUCUCCCACUGGGUCCCUCCCACAACACGUGGGAAUUAUGGGAGCUACAAUUCAAGAUGAGAUUUGGGUGGGGACACAGCCAAACAAUAUCACCACCCAUUUCUGGAAAAAGACAUAGACAUUCUUCCUCUCAUGUUUAAUGUCCAACACCUUCAUCAGAAAACCCUAUAUUUUAACCCAUUCACUCCUCACUAGUCCAGGAGGAGUCAUGCUCCUGUUUCUCAGUUCCAUGGUGAUUGAGUAAAGCCUGCACUGCUUGACACUCACUUUCAGUUUUGUAUAUUGGCUUUCUGACACCAAACAGAGAGACCCCAUCCUUGGGGAGACCAGCUUUGUGGGUAACAGUUUAUCAUGUUUACAGUGAUUUUUUUUUUCGUAAUUUCUAGAACUGUUAAAAGAAAGCUUUAACACAAUAUCUUCUUACACAAUUGAAUAAGGAAAGUGGGCCUGCUCCUGAGCAUUGUAGGAGGUAAAACUCUAUGUUUUGCUCCUGAUUACUUUGGAGCUUUUUCUCACUCAGCUCUGUCUGCCUUUCUAUUGCCUUUAUUUGUUUACAUGCCUAACUUUAUCUUUCCA